rnacentral:rRNA from 1 species
AGUGAACGCUGGCGGUAGGCCUAACACAUGCAAGUCGAACGGCAGCACAGUAAGAGCUUGCUCUUACGGGUGGCGAGUGGCGGACGGGUGAGGAAUACAUCGGAAUCUACUUUUUCGUGGGGGAUAACGUAGGGAAACUUACGCUAAUACCGCAUACGACCUACGGGUGAAAGCAGGGGAUCUUCGGACCUUGCGCGAUUGAAUGAGCCGAUGUCGGAUUAGCUAGUUGGCGGGGUAAAGGCCCACCAAGGCGACGAUCCGUAGCUGGUCUGAGAGGAUGAUCAGCCACACUGGAGCUGAGACACGGUCCAGACUCCUACGGGAGGCAGCAGUGGGGAAUAUUGGACAAUGGGCGCAAGCCUGAUCCAGCCAUACCGCGUGGGUGAAGAAGGCCUUCGGGUUGUAAAGCCCUUUUGUUGGGAAAGAAAAGCAGCAGGUUAAUACCCCGCUGUUCUGACGGUACCCAAAGAAUAAGCACCGGCUAACUGCGU